GAACGCAUACUUUAGAGUAUGAGUGGCAGACGGGUGAGUAACGCGUGAGACAUCUACCUUACAGCCCGGUAUAAAUAUCUAUAUAAAGGCGAAAAUCUUUAUAUAUGAGUGAAUCCCGGAUAUUUUGAAUAAAAAAAAAGGCAAAGAACCGUUGUAAGAUGAGCUCGCGUAGGAUUAGGUAGUUGGUAAGGUAAAAGCUUAUCCAAGCCGAUGAUCCUUAGCUGUUCUGAGAGGAUGAUCAGCCACACUGGGACUGAGACACGGCCCAGACGCUUUCGAGCGGCAGCAGUGAGGAAUUUUGGACAAUGGGCGAAAGCCUGAUCCAGCUAUAUCGCAUGAAUGAAGAAGGCUCAAUUGGUUGUAAAAUUCAUAGUUUCAUUGUAGAUUAUGACAUUGAUGAAAUGAAUAGUCCCGGCCAACUCCGUGC
rnacentral:rRNA from 1 species